GCCCGUGUAGCUCAAUCGGUAGAGCGUGAGACUCUUAUGGAGAUUUCCAACAUCUCCAGAUUGACAUCUCAAGGUCGCGGGUUCGACCCCCGCCAUGGGCU